CCUACGGGAGGCAGCAGUGGGGAAUAUUGGGCAAUGGAGGCAACUCUGACCCAGCAACGCCGCGUGAAUGAUGAAGGUCUUCGGAUUGUAAAGUUCUGUUAUGGGGGAUGAACACAAUGACGGUACCCCAAUAGCAAGCCACGGCUAACUACGUGCCAGCAGCCGCGGUAAUACGUAGGUGGCAAGCGUUAUCCGGAAUGACUGGGCGUAAAGGGUGCGUAGGUGGUUUAGUAAGUUGGCGGUGUAAUUCCGGGGCUCAACCUCGGCGCUACCGCCAAAACUAUUAGACUAGAGUGCAGGGGGGGUAAGUGGAAGUCCUAGGGUAGCGGUGGAAUGCGUAGAUAUUAGGAGGAACAUCAGGGGCGAAGGCGACUUACUGGACUGUAACUGACACUGAGGCACGAAAGCGUGGGGAGCAAACAGGAUUAGAUACCCUGGUAGUC
rnacentral:rRNA from 1 species